UAUCUUGUGUACACAAUAACACAAACCAAACUAAAAUGGCUUCUAAAAAAACCUUGCUUGUUUGGGUUACCCUAAUUCUUUGGGUGUUUUUAUUGUGUGCUUCUGAGCUUCAUGGUGCAAGCUCAUAUGAAAUGGGUAAAAGUAGAAGGCUACUUGGUCAAGAUCAAGAGACAAGUCCAAUUAAGAGUGAGGAAUCAACUCGUAGAAAACAAACCGAUCAACCAGGAGCUGAGCCUUGUUGCCACAAUUUCUAAUGUUCAUAGAGGAUGGUGCUGCUAUUGUCUGAAUGAAUUGUACAAAUAAUUAAGACAUAUUGGAUGAAAUAAGGCUCUAAUUAAUUGUAAUGGAGUUUAUUUUCAUAUAGAUUGGUAGCUUGGAUUAGAUCAUGUUUGCAUCUUCUUUUUUUCUUCUUCUUAUAAUAUAGGCUAAAUUACAUUUGUGGUCCUUUAA